rnacentral:rRNA from 1 species
UGUCGGUUAAGUCCGCUAACGAGCGCAACCCUCGCUGUGUGUUAUAUGUGUCACACGGGACUGCCGGUCUUAAGCCGGAGGAAGGUGGGGAUGAUGUCAAGUCAGCAUGGCCUUUAUAUCCUGGGCUACACACACGCUACAAUGGCCAACACAAUAGGUUGCUAAGCCGCGAGGUGGCGCCAAUCCAUAAAGUUGGUCUCAGUUCAGAUUGUAGGCUGCAACCCGCCUGCAUGAAGAUGGAGUUGCUAGUAACCGCAGGUCAGCUAUACUGCGGUGAAUACGUUCCCGGGGGCUU